GAUGAACGCUGGCGGCGUGCCUAAUACAUGCAAGUCGAGCGAACAGACGAGGAGCUUGCUCCUUCGACGUUAGCGGCGGACGGGUGAGUAACACGUAGGUAACCUACCUAUAAGACUGGGAUAACUUCGGGAAACCGGAGCUAAUACCGGAUAAUAUUUCGAACCGCAUGGUUCGAUAGUGAAAGAUGGCUUUGCUAUCACUUAUAGAUGGACCUGCGCCGUAAUAGCUAGUUGGUAAGGUAACGGCUUACCAAGGCAACGAUACGUAGCCGACCUGAGAGGGUGAUCGGCCACACUGGAACUGAGACACGGUCCAGACUCCUACGGGAGGCAGCAGUAGGGAAUCUUCCGCAAUGGGCGAAAGCCUGACGGAGCAACGCCGCGUGAGUGAUGAAGGUCUUCGGAUCGUAAAACUCUGUUAUUAGGGAAGAACAAACGUGUAAGUAACUGUGCACGUCUUGACGGUACCUAAUCAGAAAGCCACGGCUAACUACGUG
rnacentral:rRNA from 1 species